AGAGUUUGAUCAUGGCUCAGAUUGAACGCUGGCGGCAGGCCUAACACAUGCAAGUCGAACGGUAACAGGAAGCAGCUUGCUGCUUUGCUGACGAGUGGCGGACGGGUGAGUAAUGUCUGGGAAACUGCCUGAUGGAGGGGGAUAACUACUGGAAACGGUGGCUAAUACCGCAUAACGUCGCAAGACCAAAGAGGGGGACCUUCGGGCCUCUUGCCAUCAGAUGUGCCCAGAUGGGAUUAGCUUGUUGGUGAGGUAACGGCUCACCAAGGCGACGAUCCCUAGCUGGUCUGAGAGGAUGACCAGCCACACUGGAACUGAGACACGGUCCAGACUCCUACGGGAGGCAGCAGUGGGGAAUAUUGCACAAUGGGCGCAAGCCUGAUGCAGCCAUGCCGCGUGUAUGAAGAAGGCCUUCGGGUUGUAAAGUACUUUCAGCGGGGAGGAAGGUGUUGUGGUUAAUAACCACAGCAAUUGACGUUACCCGCAGAAGAAGCACCGGCUAACUCCGUGCCAGCAGCCGCGGUAAUACGGAGGGUGCAAGCGUUAAUCGGAAUUACUGGGCGUAAAGCGCACGCAGGCGGUCUGUCAAGUCGGAUGUGAAAUCCCCGGGCUCAACCUGGGAACUGCAUUCGAAACUGGCAGGCUUGAGUCUUGUAGAGGGGGGUAGAAUUCCAGGUGUAGCGGUGAAAUGCGUAGAGAUCUGGAGGAAUACCGGUGGCGAAGGCGGCCCCCUGGACAAAGACUGACGCUCAGGUGCGAAAGCGUGGGGAGCAAACAGGAUUAGAUACCCUGGUAGUCCACGCCGUAAACGAUGUCUACUUGGAGGUUGUGCCCUUGAGGCGUGGCUUCCGGAGCUAACGCGUUAAGUAGACCGCCUGGGGAGUACGGCCGCAAGGUUAAAACUCAAAUGAAUUGACGGGGGCCCGCACAAGCGGUGGAGCAUGUGGUUUAAUUCGAUGCAACGCGAAGAACCUUACCUGGUCUUGACAUCCACAGAACUUUCCAGAGAUGAGAUUGUGCCUUCGGGAACUGUGAGACAGGUGCUGCAUGGCUGUCGUCAGCUCGUGUUGUGAAAUGUUGGGUUAAGUCCCGCAACGAGCGCAACCCUUAUCCUUUGUUGCCAGCGGUUAGGCCGGGAACUCAAAGGAGACUGCCAGUGAUAAACUGGAGGAAGGUGGGGAUGACGUCAAGUCAUCAUGGCCCUUACGACCAGGGCUACACACGUGCUACAAUGGCGCAUACAAAGAGAAGCGACCUCGCGAGAGCAAGCGGACCUCAUAAAGUGCGUCGUAGUCCGGAUUGGAGUCUGCAACUCGACUCCAUGAAGUCGGAAUCGCUAGUAAUCGUGGAUCAGAAUGCCACGGUGAAUACGUUCCCGGGCCUUGUACACACCGCCCGUCACACCAUGGGAGUGGGUUGCAAAAGAAGUAGGUAGCUUAACCUUCGGGAGGGCGCUUACCACUUUGUGAUUCAUGACUGGGGUGAAGUCGUAACAAGGUAACCGUAGGGGAACCUGCGGUUG
rnacentral:rRNA from 1 species